UAAUAACUCCUUCCACCGAGCCACGCCUCAGAAAUUAGCUAGUCACCCGAUGUGGCGAUAUGCGGAAGAAAUUCUCCUGCAGAAGUCAUCCUCUCAAUAAUUUUUGAAGGAGUAAUACGCAAAGAUAUACGAGACUAAACGAAGGCAAAAGCAAUUCCAACAGCUCCGAAGUAUGGCAAAGGAUCAAAAUUGAACGAUAUCUGGAUUCUACAUCCAAAAAAGAUAUAUGGAUUUCAACUAAGCUUAAUAUGAUCAUUAAACAUUUGACAUCCGAAUUGAAACGCUCUUCCAUUGGUACUUCCUGUUUUUCUUCAAAUCCGACGAUUCGUUCUACUUGGAUAGUAGAAAUGUCAGAACGUCAACGAGCGUAGGAAAUGGAAACGUUUACCUCUUCAGUCUUAUGUUUCAAUGAGAUUUUAUCAUGGCGACGAGAAUAUUUCUAUUCUUGAGCAUUAUUGAAGCAUAUUGAAGCAGAAGAGUGUUUCAAGAGGAAGUUGAAAAUUCUAGCAAGGGAAGGAACAUCGUUAGCUAUUGUUCAUGUAUGCAUUAUGUGAUUGUGAAUACCUAGGAAGAGGAAAAAGAAGAAAAUACGAACGUGCUUGAUGACGAAGUUUCGAAAGUCCAAUAUGGUGCUGUUUUAUAAAGCUUGGAACAAUGGUACGAAAUAAUGGGAGGGAUUUAUCUUCUUCAAAGAAUCUAAUCGUGAGCAGCUUUAGCUAGAGGGUAUAAGCGAUUGUGCUCAAAAAGAUUUGUCGAUGAGCCGUCCGAUGUUCCACGCGGGGUAAGGAUCACAGGGGAAGUAAAAUGAAACUGAGGGAGGUUUAUCAUACAAAUUAAUUGAACAGACAGGGACGAUCAAAAGAUUCAUCUUUUUUCAAAGUAAUACCAUCAGCAGGGGAAUAAUUUUAAAUUAUACGUGAAAUAGAAAGUCCACGUAACGUCAUUGUUAUUCCAUCGAUUUAAAUUAAAUAAUCAUUCGAUAUAAUUAAAAAGGGAGAAGUACUGAAUUCUAUAUUCACGACAUAUACAUAAAAAAUAUUCGUAAUACUUAAUUAGAGUUUUUCUUAAGUAUUGGUAUUUGGAUGAAAUAAUUUGGUGCGUGACGCUAAUUACCCAUUUAGUAUGUUAUGAAAGGAAUUUCGUGAUAGUGGAUGUCCGUAAUACGUUCUCCCAUAUUUAUCGUCAAGUACCUUCGUUUAAACCUUUCUCCAGUAUCUCUCUCCAUGUACGUGUGCUCUGUUGCGCGUCUAUCGGCAUCGGGUCGAGUGGCUUUCAUUGAGUGUGCGUGUGUACGUAGAAUUCCUGCCUUAUUUUGAUAUUAAGGAAAGUAUUUUUUCAUUUGUUUUCCUGUCAUCAGACCAAGCAAACAAUAGGAGAUUGGCUGUAUAAUUCAAUAACCUAUUUAGAUUCAUUGUUUGAUAACAAGCUUACUUAUUUUGUAGAACAAUAGCCUAUUUUUUUAGGAACUAAUUGAUUUGGGACCUUAUAAACGAUAUAUUAGAUAAUUAGAAGUGUAAUGGUAUUAUUGUUUUGCAUUCUCCAAUAGGGAGUAACUUUCCGGAACAAUUUAUCCGUUCAUAUUGAAGAAUCAUACCAGCCGUGGUAUAUCGAUCCGCUAAAGACAAAUGAAAUCAUACAGCUAAAUAGAUAAUUUAAUUAUACCGCUAAUCGUCUUAUCGCAUUGUCUGCUUGGUUUGAUGAGGGGAGAACUAAUGAAAAAAUACCAUCCUUGUUUUCAAAAUAAGAGAGGAGAUGUACGCAAUCACGCGCACUCAUUUCCAUCCACUUGACUGGAGCACGUAAACGCGCAUGUGCACGGAGAAGGGUAGUAAUAAAUCGUUCAAUAUGAUGGUGCUGAACGAUAGGUAGGAGAGAAGGUAUUCCUCAACGAGCAAAUCGUUAAAUGCCGAUCAAUACCCGUUGACAAGGGAAUUUGUAGACAUAGAGGAUCAUAUAUUUUGCAAAAAAAUCACAAUUUUGUCCAUUAUAAUUUUCCAUGAUGUCUGUGAUAAAUGUUGAAUCAAUUCUUUUCCAACAUUAUCAUCGCUCGCAUUAUGCGUGAGGUCUUUCCGUUUUUUUGUUGGAUGUAAUGACUAUCACUCCUAUCGUUUUCUUCCCGAUUUUUUUUUUUUUUUCUAAGAUGUCUGUAUUAAUGUUUGUCUUGAAGCCAAAAUUCCCCUUCGAUAUUACUUAUAGCACGAAACUUACUCGUGUUUGGAAAUUUUGCCAUUCUCUUAAUGAAAAAGAUAUGAGUAAGUAAACAGGUGGGAAGACUGAAAUUGUAUAUUACGAAAUCACGAAACGAUAUAUACCAAAAGAAUAUUACUUUUCUGAUUUUUUGACUUAUUAGUCCAGUUAUCUAUCUAUUCCACUAGAAGUUUCAAUACGAAGUGAGUUUAGCUUCGCAAAUCUCUCCUCAGUUUCAUGAUUGCUUGUUUACUCCAUCCAAUAUCACUGCAUCGUACGAGGCGUACUCGCCUACCAUUGCAGACAAGUCCUUAUCGCUCUCUUUAUGUGGUUUAGUGAAGCCCUCAGACCGUUGUGAACGUACUUCUUUUUCAUAAAAUCGACUGACAUUCUUUUCGUAUAACUUGGUAAUUUGACCAUUUCUGUUUUAACUAACUGAGUGUUUCUCUCGAAGGGGAAAUACGGGAAAGAGGGGAAGGUAAUAUUAGGAAACCAUAAAUGUGACGAAAGAUUUUCUCCGAAUUCGUUUUUUAUUAUUUUUUUUACGUAGUACGAAAAUUGAUUGUGAUAUCAUUAUGAAUAAUAGAAUACUAUAUAGAAUCAUUAUGCAUAAUAGAAUACUGGUAAUAGAAUACUAUUAAGUAUAAGUCAGACUUACGAAAAAAAUAACAGUGCGAAUUUCCUAUAUUAAUAUCCGAUUAACUUCAUAAGAAUUAGUCUUCAUAAUUACAAUAAUUAUUAUUCUAAUAAUUAAUUAUAUUAUUAAUAAUUACAGUUUUAUGUGAUUCUUUCAAUUAAAAAUAGACAAAUUAUUGUAAGAUUCUCAUUAGUAAAUUCCAUGAUACAUUACACAGAUAAUUUCGCGGGAACAUAGAGUAUAUAUACAUAUAAUUUCAUAACUAUAGGAGAGGGGAAAUUAUUUAUCCCCAUGCGUUCUAGUUAGAGAAUUAGAUUUUAGGAAGCUUGAUCUUCUAUCGUAAUGGCAUGGGACUAAUUUAACUAGGAGAAGUCAUUUCUUCCGUGACUUUCGACCCAGUAAUACGCAAGGGUGUGUUAUACGCGAAAUAAUCCCUAGCUCUCAUACGUCCGAAAGACAAGCUUAUAAGCAAUAAAAACGGUUGAAACACCAUUAUAGCUAGUCAAUCUAUUAUUCCAUCAAUAUACUUUAAAUUCAGUAGUAGCCAUUUGUGUAAGAUUUAUUAGAAAAUUUCAUUUAUGUAUUCUAGAAAUUACCGGAUAAUUACUCCAAUUCGGGUUUCAUACCAUUUGGAAUAUUUGUGAUAAAUUCACUUAUAAAUAAAAAUACUUUCUUCGAU